rnacentral:lncRNA from 1 species
GUUCUCCCCAUAUACAUACAUGGCAUGUUUUGGUAAAUAGUUAAACAGGACUUAAAUAGCAUUGCGUCAAUUUCAACAGUUGUAGCCUUCAUUAAGAAACACAUUACAGUAGAUUUACAGACUCAGAAUUAUCUCCGUAUGUUGAAUACCAAAAGCAUAAGCACACUAAAAGGUCAUGUUUUAGGACAUCCAAUAAAAAUGGAAAAGAAGUGUGCAGAUUCGGUAUUCCGUACCCUCCAAUGCCAUAAACGGAGAUAUUCAGUCCACUGCCAGAAGAAAC